rnacentral:rRNA from 1 species
UACGUAGGGUGCGAGCGUUAAUCGGAAUUACUGGGCGUAAAGUGUGCGCAGGUGGCCGCGCAAGUCGAGUGUGAAAUCCCCGAGCUUAACUUGGGAAUUGCGCUCGAAACUACGUGGCUCGAGUGUGGCAGAGGAAGGUGGAAUUCCACGUGUAGCGGUGAAAUGCGUAGAUAUCAAGAGGAACACCUGAGGCGAAGGCGGGUUGCUAGGCUGACACUGACGCUGAGUGCGCGAAAGCCAGGGGAGCAAACGGG